GAUGAAGAACGUAGCGAAAUGCGAUAAGUAAUGUGAAUUGCAGAAUUCAGUGAAUCAUCGAAUCUUUGAACGCACCUUGCGCUCUUUGGUAUUCCGAAGAGCAUGCCUGUUUGAGUGUCAUGAAAAUAUCAACCUUGACUUGGGUUUUGUGCUCUAGUCUCGGCUUGGAAUUGGGUGCUUGCCGCUUUUACAAGCGGCUCACCUUAAAUGUAUUAGCUGGAUCUGUCUUUGAGACUAGGUUUGACUUGGCGUAAUAAGUAUUUCGCUAAGGACAUUCUUCGGAGUGGCCUCGUUUCUAGGACGCUUGUCCGCUUUCCAAUACAAGUUCCACCUCGUGGACAUGACUUUUUAUUAUCUGGCCUCAAAUCAGGUAGGACUACCCGCUGAACUUAAGCAUAUCAAUAAGCGGAGGA
rnacentral:misc_RNA from 1 species